rnacentral:rRNA from 1 species
AGAGCGCAGGGCGAAUGCCUUGGCAUUGGGAGCCGAUGAAGGACGUGGUAAGCUGCGAAAAGCUGCGGGGAAUUGCAAGCAAGUAUUGAUCCGCAGAUGUCCGAAUGGAGCAAUCCGCUGUAUAGAAGAUACAGCAUCAUAUACUGAAUCAAAUAGGUAUAUGAGGGGAACCGCCUGAACUGAAACAUCUAAGUAGGGCGAGGAAGAGAAAUCAACCGAGAUUCUGUGAGUAGUGGCGAGCGAAAGCGGAAGAGGCUAAACCGAGAGGAGCAAUCCUUUCGGGGUUUAGGACUGCAUUUAGUAUUCACAACGGUUAGAAGAAACGGAUGGGAAGCCGUACCGAAGAGCAUGAAAGUUGCGUAUUCGAAAACUGGAGUGAGCGAGCAGUAUCCGGAGUACCGCGGGACACGUGAAACCCCGUGGGAAGACAGGGGGACCACCCUCUAAGCCUAAAUACUACCCAAUGACCGAUAGCGAAGAGUACUGUGAAGGAAAGGUGAAAAGAACCCCGGGAGGGGAGUGAAAGAGAACCUGAAACCCUGUGCUUACAAGCACUGAGAGCCCGUCAAUGGGUGAUCAGGUACCUAUUGUAGAAUGGUCCGGCGAGUUAUGGUAUGCAGCAAGGUUAAGAACCUCAGGUUCGGAGCCGAAGCGAGAGCGAGUCUGAAUAGGGCGAAUAAGUUGCAUGUCAUAGACCCGAAACCGGGUGACCUAGCCAUGUCCAGGCUGAAGUGGAGGUAAAACUCCAUGGAGGGCCGAACCGACCUCCGUUGAAAAGGCGGCGGAUGAGGUGUGGCUAGCGGAGAAAUUCCAAUCGAACCCGGAUAUAGCUGGUUCUCUCCGAAAUAGCUUUAGGGCUAGCGUUGCAUUAGAUUACCGGAGGUAAAGCACUGAAUAGGCUAGGGGGCGAGAGCUUACUGAACCUUAUCAAACUAAGAAUGCCGGAUAAUUGAUGUGCAGCAGUCAGACAGUGUGAGAUAAGUUUCAUUGUCAAAAGGGAAACAGCCCAGACCCACAGCUAAGGUCCCAAAUUACAUUUAAGUGGAAAAGGAUGUGGGGUUGCAUAAACAACCAGGAUGUUGGCUUAGAAGCAGCCAUACAUUAAAAGAGUGCGUAAUAGCUCACUGGUCGAGUGACCCUGCGCCGAAAAUUCAACGGGGCUAAAAUGUAAACCGAAGCUUGGGAUUCGCAGCAAUGCGAGUGGUAGGAGAGCGUCGUGUAAGAGGAGAAGUCGGAGCGGAAGCGCCGGUGGAUUUUACACGAGUGAGAAUGCCGGAAUGAGUAGCGAGAAUUAUGUGAGAAUCAUGAUGGCCGAAAGUCUAAGGUUUCUUGAGGAAGGUUCGUCCGCUCAAGGUAAGCCGGGAGCUAAGGUGAGGCGGAAACGCGUAGCCGAUGCACAUACGGUAGAAAUUCCGUAGCCUCCAAAAGAUUAAAGCAGAAGGACACUUUGAAAGCGAUGUAGCCGGGCGUUGGUUGCCCCGGUCGUAAGGGACUGAAAUUAAGUAAGGAAGUCAUCGUGGACGAAGGCGAGAAAAGUUCUGUGUAUAUCUUCGGAGCCCGUACCGCAAACCGACACAGGUAGAUAGGAAGAAAAUUCUAAGGCCAACGGGAGAAGGGUAGUUAAGGAACUCGGCAAGUUGACCCCGUAACUUAGGGAUAAGGGGUGCUCAAGAAAUUGAGCCGCAGAGAAUAGGCCCAGGCGACUGUUUAGCAAAAACACAGCUCUAUGCUAAAUCGAAAGAUGAUGUAUAUGGGGUGACACCUGCCCGGUGCCGGAAGGUUAAGAGGAGGAGUGAGAGCUCUGAAUUGAAGCCCCGGUAAACGGCGGCCGUAACUAUAACGGUCCUAAGGUAGCGAAAUUCCUUGUCAGGUAAGUUCUGACCCGCACGAAUGGCGUAAUGAUUUGGGCACUGUCUCAACAGCCCGCCCGGCGAAAUUGUAGUACCGGUGAAGAUGCCGGUUACCCGCGACUAGACGGAAAGACCCCAUGGAGCUUUACUACAACUUAAUAUUGAGUAAUUGCAAAUCAUGUAGAGGAUAGGUGGGAGGCUAUGAAGUAAUGGCGCUAGCUAUUAUGGAGCCGCCCUUGGAAUACCACCCUUGAUUUACAGUUAUUCUAACUUCCUCCCUGGAUGGGAGGGAAGACAGUGUUAGGCGGGUAGUUUGGCUGGGGCGGCCGCCUCCCAAAUAGUAACGGAGGCGCCCUAAGGUACCCUCAGUAUGGUCGGAAAUCAUACGUAGAGCGCAAAUGCAUAAGGGUGCUUGACUGCGAGACACACAGGUCGAGCAGGUACGAAAGUAGGGAUUAGUGACCAGGCGGUUUCAUUGUGGAAUGGCCGUCGCUUAACGGAUAAAAGCUACCCUGGGGAUAACAGGCUGAUCGCGUCCAAGAGUUCACUUCGACGACGCGGUUUGGCACCUCGAUGUCGGCUCAUCACAUCCUGGAGGGGCAGUACCUUCCAAGGGUUAGGCUGUUCGCCUAUUAAAGUGGUACGCGAGCUGGGUUCAAAACGUCGUGAGACAGUUUGGUCCCUAUCUGUCGUGGGCGUAGGAAGUUUGAAAGGAUCUGACCCUAGUACGCAAGGACCAGGUUGGACGUAACUACGGUACACCGGUUGUUUCGCCAGAAGCAUAGCCGGGUAGCCGCUUACGGAUCGAAUAAACGCUGAAAGCAUCUAAGCGUGAAAUCGUCCUUAAGAUGAGACUUCCGAUUCUAACGAAUUAAGAUCCCUUCUAUGUUAGGAGGUUGAUAGGUCACAGAUGUACGCAUAGUGAUAUGUUUAGUCGAGUGAUACUAAUAGAUCGAUCACUUAUUU